rnacentral:rRNA from 1 species
GAUGAACGCUGGCGGCGUGCUUAACACAUGCCAGCCGAACGGAAAGGCUCCUGCUUGCAGGGGUACUCGAGUGGCGAACGGGUGAGUAACACGUGGGUGAUCUGCCCUGCACUUCGGGAUAAGCCUGGGAAACUGGGUCUAAUACCGGAUAGGACCAUCGUUUAGUGUCGGUGGUGGAAAGUUUUUUCGGUGUGGGAUGAGCUCGCGGCCUAUCAGCUUGUUGGUGGGGUAAUGGCCUACCAAGGCGUCGACGGGUAGCCGGCCUGAGAGGGUGUACGGCCACAUUGGGACUGAGAUACGGCCCAGACUCCUACGGGAGGCAGCAGUGGGGAAUAUUGCACAAUGGGCGCAAGCCUGAUGCAGCGACGCCGCGUGGGGGAUGACGGCCUUCGGGUUGUAAACUCCUUUCGCCAGGGACGAAGCGAAAGUGACGGUACCUGGAUAAGAAGCACCGGCUAACUACGUG